rnacentral:tRNA from 1 species
GCUGGUGAUGCGCUGAAGGUGGCGCGCUCGCCCCGUAAGCGAGAGAUAGCGGGUUCGAUCCCCGUCGCCAGCUCCA